rnacentral:lncRNA from 1 species
UUAUUAUGAAAAGGUUUAAUAGAUUCGGAGGUCUUAUUUGUGCAUUUUUUCGUCAAGUAGGUCCCUCUAUUUUCAAGUUGAUCAAUUUGAUCCCUAUUUAUGAAAAAUUCAAGCAAUACAGUCCAUGCCGUUAAAUUCUCUAAAAGCCGUAAAAAAUCUUGCUUGCUGGCUAGAUGAGCUGUCAUUUAGAAAGACGUGACACAUAACUAGUUUAAUACGUGUAUUUGUUUAGGUUUUAAAAUCAAAACACAAUUUCCACCUUACUGCUUAACUUGAAGCACAUGCAUUUUUUCAAUUUCCAGCUUCCUUAUCUCCAACUUUCAUCCCUCCAUUGUUCAAAUCACUUUCCCCCAUCGCGCUAAAACCAUACCCGACAUCACAAACAUGGCCUACCAUAUACCCUCACCACAAGAACAAGAAUAGAGAGACCCAUGAAACACAUAUAAUCGCUGCGAAAAGAAGCAUAUACUCAAAAUAAAUUCCUUUCCCCUUAACAGCAAAUACCACUCUUGCCCACCUCCUUUAAUCUCACCAGUCUUUCACCUGCAUCAAACAAACAAGCUGAGAUCAAGUCACAAACCUCGCGCCAAUUUGUUCAAAGUUUGUUCUCUUAAGCAAACCACCACCAUUCCUCUUUUUGGAGUACCCAUCAACCAUUUCUUCCAAUCCUUAACUUCUCGUUGAACCAUUGAUAGCCACUAUGGUGUGCUUUCUUGCAACUAUCACACCAGUCGCACUCCAUAUUUUUUCCAUCAUUUUUUGUUCUACCUAAACCUGUAAAGAGGAAUGUAAGUCAAAAAUCCUCACACCUUUGAUCGCAAACCCCAACAUUCCUCUACAUUUUUUUGUCACAAAACCAUCAGCGUACCUAUUAGAGCGAGAU